rnacentral:lncRNA from 1 species
UUAAACCUUAAAGAUAAAUUUUGGGACAUAAAUUGAAAGGUGGUAUACUUAAAUGUAAUAAACACUAACCUUAAACAUGAGUGAUUAUAAGGUUUGCUAUAUGGGAUGUAUAUGUAAAAAUCCCUUAAUUUUAUAUAUUGCCAAAUCAGCAUUCCAUCACAAGCCCAAUCCAAUAUUUUUAUAGCAAAUAAACUGUUGAUAUAAGGGAAUCUAUUGUUAUCUAGACAUACUUGCCUAUGGACAAUCGAUACCACAAUUGCUACUGGAGAUUUUAGCUCAUUGUACGAAUUUUCUUAAACAUAUUUGAAAACAAAUUUAACUACAGCUAACAUGAACUUCCAAUUAAUCGAAACUGGUGCUCAACAACCAAACAAAUAUACACCUAAUUUUCAGCUAAACACAGUCAUACUCGGCAGUUUAUCCGUUCACCUAGUGCAAUAUAAACAAAUUCCAGUCUAACAGUCUAGUUCGAAUGAUAAAAUUCCAAACAUUUUAAGCAAUCCUAAUUAACAGUCCACUUUUCAAGCAGUUCACAUCAUUUGAAUAUAGUUCUAACUAGACAAGUGUCUAAUACAACCCCAAACAAAUUAAACUAAGCAAUUAGGCAUCAACUGAUUGACUACAAUUACAGUGACUAGCUAUUAAACAAGGAAUGCAUCAAAAGAGGCUUGAUCCAUACUUCAUUUCAUUUCAAAAUGCCUGGAGAGUACAAAAUGUAUACCUGGAGAUUGCAAAGAAAAAGAAAAAGAAGAGUCAGCAGUAGCAAACCACAGGCACAGCUGAUAUCACCCAUAAGCAAUUUCAAACGAGUUUCAACAAGUAAUUUAGCACCAAAUCCAACAUGAGGCCAGCCGAAAUAACUUUGAACAACACUAAAUUUGUUCAAAAAAUGCAACAGAACAAUCCAAUAGGCCAAAACUCAACCAAAAUCAUCCAGUAAACCUAAAAACUCCAUUAAAUAAAACUGGACAGCAAUGGAACAGUGAUAUUUCUUUGAUUUUUCUAUUGUCUUUUGCUGUUUUUGGUUUUUUUUCCAGAAAAACUAAGAACUAGAAGAAGAUUGAUCUGGAAUUUGAAUUUUUCAGAUCUGAAAACCCCAAGAGUAUUUUUUGGGGGAAUUUGGGUUGCCAAAAACUUGUUAAAGAAAGCAUUAGAGGUACCUUUUAUAGGUUAAAUUGAGGGCAGCCCUGAAAAUUCUUAUUUACCCUAUUGGUCCCUCUUUAUUUCCAUACUAGUCCUCAUAUUUCUGACUUGAUACUCAAGUAAGAGCACUACAAUUACUGAAAUUACACCAAUGUCCUACUCUGUAAGGUUCUAGGGUGUUCUUUUAGCUACAAAAUACCUUUACUACCCUUGAACCUUCCUUAUAAUUACUAUUCCUCAAUACACUACCCUUUUCCAUCCCCAAAUUACCCUUUAAACAACUGAAAAUUACAGACCUCAAAUAACUGACCCAACCCCCUUAACCCCUGUUAAAAACUAACUAAAGUUAUACAAGAACUACACAGCUAUAUCCAAACUUGAACCUAAUUAACUUUGCAAUAAUCAAAAUCAAUUAACUUAUUGAAUUACCCACUAAUAAAUCAAAUCAUCAACUGAAUAUAACUCAGUUUAUUUCCAGAAGGACCAAAUAAGCAAAAAUCAACAAGAACAAAUCCUAAUUUUUUCUGGAUUAAUGGAAAUUUAAUUUGGAUACUAGUUAAGAACUUAUAAAAAUAGGUCAAUUAACUGCCAUUAAGGCUUCAUCAACAGUCAAAGAAACAAAAGAAACCAAAUUAACUACUAUAAAACUAAACAAGAUCAAAUCAAUAAGAAAUGAAAAUGACCAUGACAUGUAAUCACCCAUGCAAUGAAAUACAAUCAAUUGGACUCAAUAAAACAAAUGAAAUAAUUGCAAAUUGAAGACGAGAAAUGAGAAGAACUACUGAAGUUUGUUCUUUAAGCCAAAUGACUCCGGAUUGAGUUUCGAUUAAUGUUACAGGUUUAUUUUGGUUAAAAUAAACCAAUAACAUUAAUCAAAAACCAUCCAACUUGCACACCCUCGAGACGGUUCAUACCAGAUUUGAAAUUCUUGCAGGCCUGGGAAGAUUCGAGAACUUUUGGUUUGAGAUUCCGGAUAAGGGAGCCCUAGGGACUAUGGGGUGUGAAUUUGAGCCGGUUUGGAUGAAUUUGAAUUUUGACCGAGGUUUUUUUCAAAUUAAUAUUGGAGCAAUAGGGUGAUUGUUCGAAGGAAACCAAGGGUGGAUAUGAAAUGAGGAGAGGAAGGAGAAUAGAUGGUGUGAAUUUGGGAUUGAACGAAGGCAGCGACGCCGGGUUUCCAAGCGGUGGAAAUGGUGGCGGUAGGGAUUAGGGUUUUGAGAGGAUGGGGGUGUGAAAGAGAUGAG